AUAUUGGUCAAUGGGCGUAAGCCUGAACCAGCCAAGUCGCGUGAGGGAGGACGGCCCUACGGGUUGUAAACCUCUUUUGCCGGGGAGCAGGGUGGCGGACGUGUCCGCCGUUUGAGAGUAUCCGGAGAAAAAGCAUCGGCCAACUCCGUGCCAGCAGCCGCGGUAAUACGGAGGAUGCGAGCGUUAUCCGGAUUUAUUGGGUUUAAAGGGUGCGUAGGCGGGCUUUUAAGUCAGCGGUAAAAAUUCGGGGCUCAACCCCGUCCGGCCGUUGAAACUGGGGGCCUUGAGUGGGCGAGAAGAAGGCGGAAUGCGUGGUGUAGCGGUGAAAUGCAUAGAUAUCACGCAGAACCCCGAUUGCGAAGGCAGCCUUCCGGCGCCCUACUGACGCUGAGGCACGAAAGUGCGGGGAUCGAACAGG
rnacentral:rRNA from 1 species